UGUUCAGGUUGGUGAUUUCGGUCUUUCACGCAUCAAACAUAAACCUAUCUCACGACUAAAACGGGAAAAGGCACGCCUCAAUGGAUGGCACCAGAAGUUCUUCGUAACGAACCCUCAAAUGAAAAGUCCGACGUAUACAGUUUUGGAGUCAUGUUGUGGGAACUUGCAACAGAAAAAAUUCCUUGGGAUACUCUCAAUGCAAUGCAGGUACUGUUUUCUUGUGACACUGUCUUUUUCGAGCUUAGCAGGAAUAUAACAUGGAUUUUCAUACUUAUUUUAAUGGAUUAAAUCUUAAUUUAUUUUCAUGUUAAACAUCACUGGUCAUCAUCAGUCAUAAUAUGCUAACUUACAACUUUGUCUAUUACUACUAUCAGUGAUCCGGCUAGCCGACCAACAUUCCAGGAACUGCUGGAAAGGCUUAAAGAGCUGCAAAGACGGUAUACGAUUCAGUUUCAAGCAGCCAGAUCUGGUGGUGGUGAAGUCACUCAAAAGGAAUCCUAGCCGAACUAGUGAACCAUCUUUUGAUUUUUGUCAGUCGUGGCUGCUGAUGCCAAAGGAUUAUUUUGCACAUAUCUUACAAAAACAUUCCUUAUGAGUAGAUGAGUUGGUACAGACAGUUGGUCUUGGAGCUCCAUAGCAUUAAUCUUGCGAAACUAUUCAAGUUAUUGUGUGUUUACCAUUGAAGAUCUUGAACUUAAUAGUGAUGCUGCUGUGUGUUGAGUCUUGUGAAUGAGUUUCUAUCAUUAUCAUCACUGUAAUAUGAUUUUAUAUGGAAAAUGUUUGUACCACUUUUAAUUGUACAGAAGGUAGAAAAAGGGAAGAAAACUGAAGAGGUUUCAUUUUACUGCAUAGAACUGGCACUUUUUAGUUGCAUUAUCCUUGUUGAUUAUCUACAAUUUUACUUGAAAUGGUUUGUGAA